GCUCCGAUAGUGUAGUCCGGUCAAAUCAGUCUUAGAAAUAAGAUUGAGACUAUUCACUGCGGAUUUUCGAUCCGCAAACCCGGGUUCGAAUCCCGGUCGGAGCA
rnacentral:tRNA from 1 species